rnacentral:rRNA from 1 species
CCUACGUGAGGCAGCAGUGGGGAAUAUUGCACAAUGGGGGAAACCCUGAUGCAGCGACGCCGCGUGGGUGAAGAAGGUCUUCGGAUCGUAAAACCCUGUUGUUAGAGAAGAAAGUGCGUGAGAGUAACUGUUCACGUUUCGACGGUAUCUAACCAGAAAGCCACGGCUAACUACGUGCCAGCAGCCGCGGUAAUACGUAGGUGGCAAGCGUUAUCCGUAUUUAUUGGGCGUAAAGGGAACGCAGGCGGUCUUUUAAGUCUGAUGUGAAAGCCUUCGGCUUAACCGGAGUAGUGCAUUGGAAACUGGGAGACUUGAGUGCAGAAGAGGAGAGUGGAACUCCAUGUGUAGCGGUGAAAUGCGUAGAUAUAUGGAAGAACACCAGUGGCGAAAGCGGCUCUCGGGUCUGUAACUGACGCUGAGGUUCGAAAGCGUGGGUAGCAAACAGGAUUAGAUACCCCGGUAGUC